CCUUGGCCUUAAGGAGCGGCUGAUGCCUGAUUAGCUAGUUGGUGGGGUAAAGGCUUACCAAGGCAACGAUCAGUAGCUGGUCUGAGAGGACGACCAGCCACACUGGGACUGAGACACGGCCCAGACUCCUACGGGAGGCAGCAGUGGGGAAUUUUGGACAAUGGGCGAAAGCCUGAUCCAGCCAUGCCGCGUGAGUGAAGAAGGCCUUCGGGUUGUAAAGCUCUUUUAGUCGGAAAGAAAGAGUCAUAGUAAAUAGCUAUGAUUUAUGACGGUACCGACAGAAAAAGCACCGGCUAAC
rnacentral:rRNA from 1 species